rnacentral:rRNA from 1 species
AUGAACGCUGGCGGCGUGCCUAAUACAUGCAAGUCGAGCGAACAGACGAGGAGCUUGCUCCUCUGACGUUAGCGGCGGACGGGUGAGUAACACGUGGAUAACCUACCUAUAAGACUGGGAUAACUUCGGGAAACCGGAGCUAAUACCGGAUAAUAUAUUGAACCGCAUGGUUCAAUAGUGAAAGACGGUUUUGCUGUCACUUAUAGAUGGAUCCGCGCCGCAUUAGCUAGUUGGUAAGGUAACGGCUUACCAAGGCAACGAUGCGUAGCCGACCUGAGAGGGUGAUCGGCCACACUGGAACUGAGACACGGUCCAGACUCCUACGGGAGGCAGCAGUAGGGAAUCUUCCGCAAUGGGCGAAAGCCUGACGGAGCAACGCCGCGUGAGUGAUGAAGGUCUUCGGAUCGUAAAACUCUGUUACUAGGGAAGAACAAAUGUGUAAGUAACUAUGCACGUCUUGACGGUACCUAAUCAGAAAGCCACGGCUAACUACGUG